ACCUGGUUGAUUCUGCCAGUAGUCAUAUGCUUGUCUCAAAGAUUAAGCCAUGCAUGUCUUAGUGUAAAUAACUCUUAUGAAACUGCGAAUGGCUCAUUAAAUCAGUUAUCGUUUAUUUGAUGGUCUCUUACUACAUGGAUAACCGUAGUAAUUCUAGAGCUAAUACAUGCACAAAGGCCCGACUCACGGAGGGCUGUAUUUAUUAGAUUCAAAGCCGACCUUGUUUUGGUGAUUCAUAAUAACUUCUCGAAGCACAUGCCCUUGCGGUGGUGCUGAUUCAUUCAAAUUUCUGCCCUAUCA
rnacentral:rRNA from 1 species